AUGGACUGUAACUUUAAUUUAAUAAUUGGGGUUUUUAGUUAAGGAAUGAGUUUAAUGACAUUUGGGACCAUGGAUCUAUGGUAAAACUGCUUUUUUGUAAUUAGGCCCCCAGAGACGCAUACUGGAACCGCAAAUGAAGACACCAUUGCAGUUCAGUUUUACGCAGUUCUUCGAAAAGGUGUUAAGUACGAAAAAGGAUGUGAGAAGCUGGUAAUCAUAAAUGAGAAAUCUGAAACGGCUGAGAUGGACUGUUGGCUGCAGGAUACCAAUAUGGGGUCAUUGUUCUCUUGUACCUUUGAUUUGCUGAGAUCGGAUAUUAGCACGUACACAUACAAAUACUGUCUUUGUAAUAAGUCGUUGGGAACAAUUCAAGAAGAACGCAUCACAAAAGAUAAAGACAACUGGAGAAUGCUAAAUGUUACAAGAAAUAAUACUGGUUCAGUUCAUCAGCAGUUUGAUGACAUCUGCAUGAAAUCAAACUUACAUUACAUUUCAAAUAAACAAACUGACAUUAAAGGAAUACGUCCAAAGUUCCUUCAAG